AUUUAUUCUUGUUACUGCUAAGCAGGUUGAAUAGUUGUUACAAGGAAAGGGGUACAUAGGAGAUACUGGUAUGUUUUUUGGUUCUGAUGAAGGGCCUAUGUUCUAUAAAGGGAACAUACAAGUUACAUUUAAACGUAUACGGACCAAUGAUGUGCCUGUAAUCAUCUUGAACUCUGCCGAGUGAUUGAAACAGCUCUGAUCUUCUGAGGUCCAUCACAAAAGGGUUUGAAAUUUUAUACCAGUGGAAUUUUCAAGUGUCAAGAGCCAGCCUUUGGUGCUCUGGGGAUAUUGAUUGUAGGAUGAGAAUAGAUGAGUAACAUAGUAACAGGACUUGGAACUCAGAGUUCAUAAAGUCCCAAAGAGAUUAAAGGGUUCCAUACAAGAGAUGGUUGAGUUUGAAUGGAAGUUUGCUCACGAGUAUCAAGCUAGAUCCCUACUGAAAAUGAGAGAUGCCUGAAGGCUGCAGCAGACAAGCUGAGGCCAGGUGCUGACCAGUAAGACUCUCUCUCUUGCUCUCUGUGUGGUUCAUACAUCGAAUUUGAGACCUUGCAGUCCUGAGCUUCUCUCUAGAGACCACCCUGGCCACCAGCCUUCUCUGAUUGGUCUGUUCACAACCAAACCUGGAGUUGAUUGCAGAUUCUAAUGGGAUCAACAUGGUUCAGUAGCAUCAGCGUCAAAAAUUAAACCGACCUGUUGCUAUGCUCUAUUUUAAUUGGCUCUGCAGGUGGUAAACUUCCAUGUUGACAAAUUCCCUGGUUGUGUCUAUACUGCAAGAGCACCGAGAACAUUACAGUUGCUGAGGGAUUCCAGCUUCUUCUGUCAUCAAGAUCAAGAUCAUCCUCAAAGUCAUGUUCCCAUGUCAGGGAUGAGACCAAGGCAAGAAUGAAACACCCAAAGGCCCAUACAUGGACUAGUAAUCUGAAUUAUGUCAUAGGAUUUCAGACAAAUCUCAGGAAAUUACAAUGAUAAUACUGUUCGAAGUA